AGCCGCGGGUAAUACGUAGGGGGCGAGCGUUAUCCGGAUUCAUUGGGCGUAAAGCGCUCGUAGGCGGCCUGCGUAGGUCGGGAGUCAAAUGCGGGGGCCCAACCCCCGGCCGCUCCCGAUACCGGCGGGCUUGAGUUUGGUAGGGGAAGGCGGAAUUCCCGGUGUAGCGGUGGAAUGCGCAGAUAUCGGGAAGAACACCGGUGGCGAAGGCGGCCUUCUGGGCCACAACUGACGCUGAGGAGCGAAAGCUGGGGGAGCGA
rnacentral:rRNA from 1 species